rnacentral:rRNA from 1 species
GACGAACGCUGGCGGCGUGCUUAACACAUGCAAGUCGAACGGAAAGGCCCUGCUUUUGUGGGGUGCUCGAGUGGCGAACGGGUGAGUAACACGUGAGUAACCUGCCCUUGACUUUGGGAUAACUUCAGGAAACUGGGGCUAAUACCGGAUAGGAGCUCCUGCUGCAUGGUGGGGGUUGGAAAGUUUCGGCGGUUGGGGAUGGACUCGCGGCUUAUCAGCUUGUUGGUGGGGUAGUGGCUUACCAAGGCUUUGACGGGUAGCCGGCCUGAGAGGGUGACCGGCCACAUGGGGACUGAGAUACGGCCCAGACUCCUACGGAAGGCAGCAGUGGGGAAUAUUGCACAAUGGGCGGAAGCCUGAUGCAGCAACGCCGCGUGCGGGAUGACGGCCUUCGGGUUGUAAACCGCUUUCGCCUGUGACGAAGCGUGAGUGACGGUAAUGGGUAAAGAAGCACCGGCUAACUACGU